AUGGCGGAGUCCGAGUCUCUCGAUGCGUUCGCCGGGAGGCUCGGCGGCAUGGCGGCGCGCUACGCGGCGUUGGGCUCAACCCUGGAAGAUUCCGCGCUCGUCAAGAAGCUACUUGACUCGGUGCCGAACCGGCUGUACGCGGCGGUGGCCGGCAUUGAGCAGUUCUGCGACGUCGGGGCGAUGCUGUUCGAGGACGCGUUGGGGCGGCUGAAGGCUUUUGAUGAACGGCUGCGGCGACGCGAUCAGGCAGGCGGCGAGCAAGCUGACGGCGAGCUGCUGUACAAGGCGGCGCAAUGGAGGGCGCGGGAGCGGCGUCACGGUGGAGCUCGGGACGACGACGACGGGACGCGCAGCGAGGCUUCAGGCGUCGGUGGUCCCAGGAAGGGCAGGUGCUACAAGUGCGGGGAGCGGGGUCACUUCAAGCGUGACCGCCCGCAGUGGAAGAAGGCGCCGGCACCGGAGCAUGCACUGCUGGUCGACGGCGACGUCGAGGAUGGCGGGCUGCUCAGAGCCGCGGCUUAG
rnacentral:rRNA from 1 species